rnacentral:rRNA from 1 species
UACGGGGGGAGCAAGCGUUGUUCGGAUUUACUGGGCGUAAAGGGCGCGUAGGCGGCCACCGCAAGUCGACUGUGAAAUCUCCGGGCUUAACCCGGAAAGGUCAGCCGAUACUGCGGGGCUAGAGUGCAGAAGGGGCAACUGGAAUUCUCGGUGUAGCGGUGAAAUGCGUAGAUAUCGAGAGGAACACCGGUGGCGAAGGCGGAUCUCUGGGCCUUACCUGACGCUGAGGCGCGAAAGCUAGGGGAGCGAACAGG